rnacentral:lncRNA from 1 species
GUUCCGGCCGCGCCUUGCCCAAGCGGCCGCUCCUGGUUUUCCGCGGGGCCGGGAGGGGGCGGGGCAGUGGGCGGGGCUCCGGAUUUGAGUCCGAUUUGGGGAGUGGCGCGAGUUAGGAACUGGCUGGAAGAUGGGGUGUGUGUGCGUAUAUGGGAGCGAGGAAAGCGCUGUAGGAAGCAUGCAGGCCGCUUUAUUUUACAGCUGUGGGAGUGGUGGACAAGGGCGGCGGCUCUGCGAGAAGCACGUGGGCGCGGCGGGCCGCCUCAGGGAUGGAGUAGGCUGUGGUCUUGCCAACUCCCGUUAUCAAAGGCCCAAGGACGCCAUUCACUCAGCCCCGGGCGGGCGUGGGUCUGGGGGCCGGAAACCCGAAGUCCUGUGGGUGCCGUGGAAUGCACGAGCAGCCGGCGGAGCAAACCUGCCCCAUAGAUUUUUCUAAACCGUUCGCCACAGAAACGCUACUCUGUCUUCUCUGACCGACUCUGUGCACUGCAGCCUUGCACAAAGAAAACAGGAGGUACUCCAAGUCUGAGAUACUGUUCCGACUAGGAAAGGGGUAGCUUCUGGUACCUGCAGCUCUCUCGGGGCAGGGUCCCGCGGGUCGUACCCACCUCCCCGCUCGAGUGCGGUCAAAACCCGGAGACCGGAUUACAUCCCAAUCCAGAAGUCUCAGGGCGCCCGCAGUUAGUUCAGGGCAUGCUCAGUCGCAGAGCAGGUUUUUGGGCUUGGAAGUAGGAAGCUUUUGCACCACACACCCACACUCUAGCUCAAAUUACCUCUCCCAGACUCUGCACUCAUUGGUCUCGGGGCGCGAGUCUGACACCCCUAAGUGUUGUUCAUUGGCUGCCGCCAAGGCUUUAUCAGUUUGGGGCGCUUCAUUGGCUAAAAAGUAGCCUCCGCUCGCGAUUGGUUAUUUAUAGAGAUUGAGCGGAGAGGCGGAGGCACAGCUGUUCUUUCUCCGUUGCUCCCCCACCCUCUGCCUCCCACUUCCCCAACCCUGGCGUUUUGAAGUAAAAGUGAAAAAAUAAGAGGCAUUUAGGCUGAGAGCUCAGAACUAAAUAUAGUUCUUUGUUGGUGUUUUCGAGAGGGUCUGACUCCUCGGUUUCCAGUCACGACUGCCCCUUAAAGGGAGCACAAAGGGCUAAUUACAGGUUUUGGUCCGCAAGAAACCGCAGAGUUGCCAAGUUUUUUUGCAGGGAGUGGGAGGGGGCGAGGAGCCGAAAUGGGCCACUUGGAAUUCGUUUCACCCGGAGGGGUAGGGGAGUGUCCAAGCUUGCUUCAGAGGAAGCGUCUUCGCUGGCGGGCCGGGCAAUCGCUAGACUUGGCUGGGCUGGCGCUCCCGGGAGGUGCAAGGGAGAUGCCCCGACUUGUUCCGACUCCCUCGCUCCUCGCUGAGGAGGGAUGUCAAGACCUGUCUGCAGGCUGAGCUCGGCGGCGGCGGGUGCGGGAUGGGGAGGGAGGCGGUGGAGCUGCGUCAGCGCUGGCUCCCCGUCCUGAUGUCACUGCUCCCUGGUUUCACCGUCCGCAUCGGAGGGGUGAUUUUAGAGGCUGUGUGAUCAGACUGGCUCUUAAACCCAAGAGGGACCUCCGCCCACAGCCACCCUCUGGCUCUCCUCUGGCAGUGCCCCUCUUCCGGUCAGGCUGAUGGCCCAGCUGGAGCCUGACCCUCUUCUAGACUACAUACGCUCCAUGUAGUCAGAACUCUGGACUGCUCUGCCCAAAUGGUGCCAAGUUCACUUUCAGGAUCUGGUCGGGACUCUGAACUCACUCCUGUGUCCAAGAAAUAGCUCUUCUUUGGGGUGUGGACAGUACCUGGACCUGUGGGCUAAGGUGUGCACUCCCAGGUGCUUUGGGCCCCUCGUAAUGCAGGAAGAGGGAUCAUUCGCGAUCAGCUUUAUCCUCCAUGACACCUUCCAGCCUGG